rnacentral:rRNA from 1 species
AUGGGGUCGUCGUUUAAGUCGGAGUGGGGGCCGGCGAUCUGCAUGGUGCUCAUCGAGCUGUUCACCACGGGGCAGCUGCUGCUCACCAAGGUGGUGGUCGACGCUGGCCUCAUGGUCUUCGCCCUCCUCACCUACCGCUUCUUCCUCGGUGCCGCCCUCGUUGUCCCUCUCGCCCUCAUCCUUGAGCCGUACGUCAUCGCUUCUCUACUCACCGCCAAUGCAUCUCAUCUUCAAGAUUUUAUUGUUACUCCCUCCGAUCUAUAUUAA